rnacentral:rRNA from 1 species
UUAUACGAUGAAGAGUUUGAUCCUGGCUCAGGAUGAACGCUAGCGGCAGGCCUAACACAUGCAAGUCGAGGGGUAGAGGGGUGCUUGCACCGAAAGACGAGUGGCGAACGGGUGCGUAACGCGUAUGCAAUCUGCCUUUUACUAGGGUAUAGCCCAGAGAAAUUUGGAUUAAUCCCCUA